GAGAGAUUUCCCAUAUUUCUUUAUGCAGUUUUCCCCAAUGGGAACAUCUUAUCUAGAACUUUAAGUAUUUUUGUUUUAUUCUUUAGGUUGAUUCACAUUGAGGAGAAGAUUCUCAGAUUUCUUCUGAGGCAACAGAGACAGAACCCUUUUUAAAAAUAAUAUAUAUAUAUUUUUUUCAGGCAGGAAAGGUGAGCAUCUACUUUACCUAAACCAAUAGUUGUUUCUUCAGGGACCAUCCAUGACCUCAACAAAAGCCUCUGGCCGAAAGCACCGGUAGGUACUGUCCAAAGAGAACUGCACAGACAGAGGCAGGAAGAAUGCAGGGGGAAGUACGGAGGACUGGCAUGGAGAGACUUGACCAGUGACCCACACACUGCUAGAUUCCCGGCCCACAGCUUCUCCUUCCUCAGCCACAGCUUACAGAGCGGAUACAGUCUCUGCACUUUGGGAAGCCAAGGCAGGAAGACAGCUUGAAAUCAAGAAUUCAAGACCAGCCUGAGAAACACAGUGUGAGACCCUGCCUCUACAGAAAACAAAAAUAAAUUAGCCGGGCAUGGUGAUGUGUGCUUGUAG
rnacentral:lncRNA from 13 species